CAUGCAAGUCGAACGGUAACAGGUUAAGCUGACGAGUGGCGAACGGGUGAGUAAUAUAUCGGAACGUGCCCAGUCGUGGGGGAUAACUGCUCGAAAGAGCAGCUAAUACCGCAUACGACCUGAGGGUGAAAGCGGGGGAUCGCAAGACCUCGCGCGAUUGGAGCGGCCGAUAUCAGAUUAGGUAGUUGGUGGGGUAAAGGCCCACCAAGCCAACGAUCUGUAGCUGGUCUGAGAGGACGACCAGCCACACUGGGACUGAGACACGGCCCAGACUCCUACGGGAGGCAGCAGUGGGGAAUUUUGGACAAUGGGCGCAAGCCUGAUCCAGCCAUGCCGCGUGCGGGAAGAAGGCCUUCGGGUUGUAAACCGCUUUUGUCAGGGAAGAAAAGGUUCUGGUUAAUACCUGGGACUCAUGACGGUACCUGAAGAAUAAGCACCGGCUAACUACGUGCCAGCAGCCGCGGUAAUACGUAGGGUGCAAGCGUUAAUCGGAAUUACUGGGCGUAAAGCGUGCGCAGGCGGUUAUGCAAGACAGAGGUGAAAUCCCCGGGCUCAACCUGGGAACUGCCUUUGUGACUGCAUGGCUAGAGUACGGUAGAGGGGGAUGGAAUUCCGCGUGUAGCAGUGAAAUGCGUAGAUAUGCGGAGGAACACCGAUGGCGAAGGCAAUCCCCUGGACCUGUACUGACGCUCAUGCACGAAAGCGU
rnacentral:rRNA from 1 species